rnacentral:lncRNA from 1 species
UUGAGAGAAACUUUUAUUUUAAAAGAUCCUAAAAUAAAUUAAAAAGAUUAAAUAUAAAUAUUUAACUAGAAUUUUUACUCUCGCAGUUCAUCAUGUUAGCUUCCAACCCUUUGGCCUGAAUUCUUGAGUCUAACCGAUUGAUCGGUAUAAGCUACAAAGAUUGGCUUAGGAACCUCAGAAUAGUUUUGAAUUAAGAGAAGAUAGGCUAUGUACUUGACUAAGAUCCCCCUGCAUUAUCAAGUCAUCCAAUUGCUGAUCAGCUUGAAGCGCUAGAUAAAUGGA